CCGUGUUUGGUGGCCAUGUGGAAAGCCGAGAUCAGUUUGGAACCUCCUGAGAUGGGAUGGUGGUGGUGGUGAUGGUGGUGGUGAUGAUGUUCUAAACUCAGCGGAUCCUUCAUCGAGUUCAUCGAGCGUUAAAAAUAAAUCAGGCAGAACAUCAUGUGCAGGGUCUGAGUGAAUUCCUGAGCAUCCGAGAAAGUGGAACUGUCUCAAUGACUGAGAGAACCCCCUGGUCUCUUCCAAAAAGUCUUUUACGUGCCCUUUAUUUGCCUUCCGACAGAAAAAAAAGAAGAAACCAGAAAAGGCGAUGUUUUAGAAGAGACUUAAUCAAUCUGAUCAUCUGUAAAUACAAAACUCACCGCGAGACUGAAUCGCUCUGUCUCACAUUCACACUCUGAUUUUUAUUUUAAUUAAAGCUGAAACGCUUUUUACAAAUUACCUUUCGCCAUCAAAUCUCUUAAACAAUCAAAUAUUUUAUUCUUGUCCUGGUGUAAAUUUAUUAUAAAUGAUCAUUAAUAAACGGA